rnacentral:tRNA from 1 species
UCACUAAAUGGCUGAAGGGUAGGCAACGGAAUUUUAAACCGAAAAAUAGUAAUUUAACAAAUACUUUUAGUGA